ACGAACGCUGGCGGCGUGCUUCACACAUGCCAGUCGCACGGAAAGGCCCUGCUUGCAGGGUACUCGAGUGGCGAACGGGUGAGUAACACGUGGGUGAUCUGCCCUGCACUUCGGGAUAAGCCUGGGAAACUGGGUCUAAUACCGGAUAGGAGCCAUUUUUAGUGUGAUGGUUGGAAAGUUUUUUCGGUGUAGGAUGAGCUCGCGGCCUAUCAGCUUGUUGGUGGGGUAAUGGCCUACCAAGGCGGCGACGGGUAGCCGGCCUGAGAGGGUGGACGGCCACAUUGGGACUGAGAGACGGCCCAGACUCCUACGGGAGGCAGCAGUGGGGAAUAUUGCACAAUGGGCGCAAGCCUGAUGCAGCGACGCCGCGGGGGGGAGGACGGCCUUCGGGUUGUAAACUCCUUUCGCUAGGGACGAAGCUUUUUGUGACGGUACCUAGAUAAGAAGCACCGGCUAACUACGUG
rnacentral:rRNA from 1 species